rnacentral:rRNA from 1 species
AGUGAACGCUGGCGGUAGGCCUAACACAUGCAAGUCGAACGGCAGCACAGGAGAGCUUGCUCUCUGGGUGGCGAGUGGCGGACGGGUGAGGAAUACAUCGGAAUCUACUUUUUCGUGGGGGAUAACGUAGGGAAACUUACGCUAAUACCGCAUACGACCUACGGGUGAAAGCAGGGGAGCUUCGGACCUUGCGCGAUUGACUGAGCCGAUGUCGGAUUAGCUAGUUGGCGGGGUAAAGGCCCACCAAGGCGACGAUCCGUAGCUGGUCUGAGAGGAUGAUCAGCCACACUGGAACUGAGACACGGUCCAGACUCCUACGGGAGGCAGCAGUGGGGAAUAUUGGACAAUGGGCGCAAGCCUGAUCCAGCCAUACCGCGUGGGUGAAGAAGGCCUUCGGGUUGUAAAGCCCUUUUGUUGGGAAAGAAAUCCAGCUGGUUAAUACCCGGUUGGGAUAACGGUACCCAAAGAAUAAGCACCGGCUAACUUCGUGCCAGCCGCCGCGGAA